rnacentral:rRNA from 1 species
GGCGAGUUACGAUUUGAUGCAAGGUUAAGCAGUAAAUGUGGAGCCGUAGCGAAAGCGAGUCUGAAUAGGGCGUUUAGUAUUUGGUCGUAGACCCGAAACCAGGUGAUCUACCCUUGGUCAGGUUGAAGUUCAGGUAACACUGAAUGGAGGACCGAACCGACUUACGUUGAAAAGUGAGCGGAUGAACUGAGGGUAGCGGAGAAAUUCCAAUCGAACCUGGAGAUAGCUGGUUCUCUCCGAAAUAGCUUUAGGGCUAGCCUCAAGUGAUGAUUAUUGGAGGUAGAGCACUGUUUGGACGAGGGGCCCCUCUCGGGUUACCGAAUUCAGACAAACUCCGAAUGCCAAUUAAUUUAACUUGGGAGUCAGAACAUGGGUGAUAAGGUCCGUGUUCGAAAGGGAAACAGCCCAGACCACCAGCUAAGGUCCCAAAAUAUAUGUUAAGUGGAAAAGGAUGUGGCGUUGCCCAGACAACUAGGAUGUUGGCUUAGAAGCAGCCAUCAUUUAAAGAGUGCGUAAUAGCUCACUAGUCGAGUGACACUGCGCCGAAAAUGUACCGGGGCUAAACAUAUUACCGAAGCUGUGGAUUGUCCUUUGGACAAUGGUAGGAGAGCGUUCUAAGGGCGUUGAAGCAUGAUCGUAAGGACAUGUGGAGCGCUUAGAAGUGAGAAUGCCGGUGUGAGUAGCGAAAGACGGGUGAGAAUCCCGUCCACCGAUUGACUAAGGUUUCCAGAGGAAGGCUCGUCCGCUCUGGGUUAGUCGGGUCCUAAGCUGAGGCCGACAGGCGUAGGCGAUGGAUAACAGGUUGAUAUUCCUGUACCACCUAUAAUCGUUUUAAUCGAUGGGGGGACGCAGUAGGAUAGGCGAAGCGUGCGAUUGGAUUGCACGUCUAAGCAGUAAGGCUGAGUAUUAGGCAAAUCCGGUACUCGUUAAGGCUGAGCUGUGAUGGGGAGAAGACAUUGAGUCUUCGAGUCGUUGAUUUCACACUGCCGAGAAAAGCCUCUAGAUAGAAAAUAGGUGCCCGUACCGCAAACCGACACAGGUAGUCAAGAUGAGAAUUCUAAGGUGAGCGAGCGAACUCUCGUUAAGGAACUCGGCAAAAUGACCCCGUAACUUCGGGAGAAGGGGUGCUCUUUAGGGUUAACGCCCAGAAGAGCCGCAGUGAAUAGGCCCAAGCGACUGUUUAUCAAAAACACAGGUCUCUGCUAAACCGUAAGGUGAUGUAUAGGGGCUGACGCCUGCCCGGUGCUGGAAGGUUAAGAGGAGUGGUUAGCUUCUGCGAAGCUACGAAUCGAAGCCCCAGUAAACGGCGGCCGUAACUAUAACGGUCCUAAGGUAGCGAAAUUCCUUGUCGGGUAAGUUCCGACCCGCACGAAAGGCGUAACGAUUUGGGCACUGUCUCAACGAGAGACUCGGUGAAAUCAUAGUACCUGUGAAGAUGCAGGUUACCCGCGACAGGACGGAAAGACCCCGUGGAGCUUUACUGUAGCCUGAUAUUGAAAUUCGGCACAGCUUGUACAGGAUAGGUAGGAGCCUUUGAAACGUGAGCGCUAGCUUACGUGGAGGCGCUGGUGGGAUACUACCCUAGCUGUGUUGGCUUUCUAACCCGCACCACUUAUCGUGGUGGGAGACAGUGUCAAGCGGGCAGUUUGACUGGGGCGGUCGCCUCCUAAAAGGUAACGGAGGCGCUCAAAGGUUCCCUCAGAAUGGUUGGAAAUCAUUCAUAGAGUGUAAAGGCAUAAGGGAGCUUGACUGCGAGACCUACAAGUCGAGCAGGGUCGAAAGACGGACUUAGUGAUCCGGUGGUUCCGCAUGGAAGGGCCAUCGCUCAACGGAUAAAAGCUACCCCGGGGAUAACAGGCUUAUCUCCCCCAAGAGUUCACAUCGACGGGGAGGUUUGGCACCUCGAUGUCGGCUCAUCGCAUCCUGGGGCUGUAGUCGGUCCCAAGGGUUGGGCUGUUCGCCCAUUAAAGCGGUACGCGAGCUGGGUUCAGAACGUCGUGAGACAGUUCGGUCCCUAUCCGUCGUGGGCGUAGGAAAUUUGAGAGGAGCUGUCCUUAGUACGAGAGGACCGGGAUGGACAUACCUCUGGUGUACCAGUUGUCGUGCCAACGGCAUAGCUGGGUAGCUAUGUGUGGACGGGAUAAGUGCUGAAAGCAUCUAAGCAUGAAGCCCCCCUCAAGAUGAGAUUUCCCAACUUCGGUUAUAAGAUCCCUCAAAGAUGAUGAGGUUAAUAGGUUCGAGGUGGAAGCAUGGUGACAUGUGGAGCUGACGAAUACUAAUCGAUCGAAGACUUAAUCAA